rnacentral:tRNA from 1 species
GCCCUUGUAGCUCAGUGGUAGAGCACUCCCUUGGUAAGGGAGAGGCCUCGGGUUCAAAUCCCGACGAGGGCACUA